CAACUUCAUAGUUAACUUCAGCAUCAGGUCGACAGCUUUCAGUGCACGACCGAUGAUGUCAUCCGUGUUCAGGCAGACCGGUAAUAAGAAGCUUGAUGUGGUGAUCAAGCCUCAAGCGUUUACCAUAACUCGNAAGAACUGAAAGAUAUGACAUAGAAGUUUUUAUGAUACUCAUGUACGUUUCCAUAUUAACAACGAGGAAUUGUCCGGCUCUCAGGAAAACUGGCUCUUGAGCUCUCAUAAUGACAUAAAUAAUGUCUUUUGCCACACUUUUCGGUAUAUCGUACCAGCUGCAGAAAUACAUCGAGUCACCGAUGCCUUCCAUUUGACGCUUUAAAUAUUCGCCCACGUAGCUUACUCAGAGCGAGAAUGAAUUGAAGUCCUAAAAAUAGAUGCAAAUUAUCCCAACACAUUGAUCGUAUUUAAAUAAACAUUUUCCAUCGGGCUUCGUGCCAUUUUAUGGAAUGAGGUAAGAAUGUUCACCGCUUGUACAAAUAAGUAUACAACUCGUGAAUAGUUGCAUAACCAAGAUGGAGCUGAUGAUCUCGAUCAGCAUAUUGGCCAGGUUAAUUAAUUUCAGAAUUUCUACCUGACCGCACAGAUGAAAAGUGAUACCGAAAAACAACGAAUCGCUUCCUAAUUUAUAUUUUAAAAUAAAUGAGUAGAAUUCUUAAACUACCCUGAAGUUAACUAACGUGACUUCUGACAAUGUGUAAAUCGUAAGACACGACGAUACAUUACCUAGAUUCCCAGUGCUCGUGAAUAUCAGCAUCAAGUAUUCUACGAUAUAAACAAGGAAGUAUAAAUUUUCCGGUAUUUUUA